rnacentral:rRNA from 1 species
CUGUUUAUCAAAAACAUGUCCUUUUGAGUAUAAAUAUAUAAGGUCUAGCCUGCCCAAUGAUUUAUUUUAAUGGCCGCGGUAUAUUAACUGUGCUAAGGUAGCAUAAUCACUUGUCUUUUAAUUGAAGGCUAGAAUGAAUGGCUGAACGAAACAUAAUCUUUCUUUAACUUAAUUUUAGAACUUAAUUUUUUAGUCAAAAAGCUAAAAUUUAUUUGAGGGACGAGAAGACCCUAUAGAUCUUUAUAUAUAAUAUAUUAUAUAUUUUAGUAAAUUUAUUAUAAAAAUAUAAAAGUAUAUUUGGUUGGGGCGACUAUAGAAUAUAUUUAACUUCUAUUUAUAUUUUUCAUAAAUUAGUGUUUAGUUGAUCCAAUAAUAUUGAUUAAAAUAUUAAGUUACCUUAGGGAUAACAGCGUAAUUUUUUCGGAGAGUUCUUAUCGAUGAAAAAGCUUGCGACCUCGAUGUUGGAUUAAAAUUAGUUGUAGGUGUAGAAGUUUACAAUCUAGGUCUGUUCGACCUUUAAUUUUUUACAUGAUCUGAGU